UACGAAGGGGGCUAGCGUUGCUCGGAAUCACUGGGCGUAAAGCGCACGUAGGCGGCUUUUUAAGUCAGAGGUGAAAUCCUGGAGCUCAACUCCAGAACUGCCUUUGAUACUGGAGAGCUUGAGUCCGGGAGAGGUGAGUGGAACUGCGAGUGUAGAGGUGAAAUUCGUAGAUAUUCGCAAGAACACCAGUGGCGAAGGCGGCUCACUGGCCCGGUAUGACGCUGAGGUGCGAAA
rnacentral:rRNA from 1 species